CCCUGGGUGGGGCAGAGUUAACGUGCUUGGCUGCUAAUCAAAAGGUUGGUGGUUUAAGUCCACCCAGAGGGA
rnacentral:tRNA from 1 species